rnacentral:rRNA from 1 species
GAUGAACGCUGGCGGCGUGCCUAAUACGUGCAAGUCGAGCGAACGGACGAGAAGCUUGCUUCUCUGUUGUUAGCGGCGGACGGGUGAGUAACACGUGGAUAACCUACCUAUAAGACUGGGAUAACUUCGGGAAACCGGAGCUAAUACCGGAUAAUAUUUUGAACCGCAUGGUUCAAAAGUGAAAGACGGUCUUGCUGUCACUUAUAGAUGGAUCCGCGCUGCAUUAGCUAGUUGGUAAGGUAACGGCUUACCAAGGCAACGAUGCAUAGCCGACCUGAGAGGGUGAUCGGCCACACUGGAACUGAGACACGGUCCAGACUCCUACGGGAGGCAGCAGUAGGGAAUCUUCCGCAAUGGGCGAAAGCCUGACGGAGCAACGCCGCGUGAGUGAUGAAGGUCUUCGGAUCGUAAAACUCUGUUAUUAGGGAAGAACAUAUGUGUAAGUAACUGUGCACAUCUUGACGGUACCUAAUCAGAAAGCCACGGCUAACUACGUG